UGCGGCGCCGCUCCGAGUCCGUCGGUCCGGCCCGGCCGCGCUCCCGCCGCCGCCCCGCCAUGUGGCUGCUGGUCGCCUCGGUGCUGCUCGGCGCCCUGCGCGCAGGUUCUGCGAAGUUGAUACUCACUGAAAUAGAUGUUGUUGAAAAAAAUGACUGUAAUGAAACUGUCAUUUUACCUUGUUAUGUGACUAAUCUAAGGAAGAACAAUGAAACUCUCAUGUUUGUUUUAUGGAAAAAAGAAGAAAAGGUAAUUUUUUCUUUUCAUGGAGGAAGAAACGAAUUUUAUAGAGAUGGAGACUUUUCGUCAGCAAAACUGUUAUCUCGGGCGGAUUUAGCCAAGGGUGUGGCCUCUCUGGUGCUUACCACUAGACAAGCAACCGUUGGAAAUUACAGUUGUAAAGUAACAGAAUCAAACACAGAAGGAGACAUAAAAAUGGAACUUAGGCAGAGCUCAGGAUCAUGGUUCCUCCUAGUGGAAAGGGCUAUCAUCAUAUCGUUGCUGUGCAUAGUUAUUAUUUUGUGUGCGGCUCAGCUCACUGUUAUUGCAUUAAAAUAUGAUAUUGAAUCUCAGAGGAAAGUGUGCAUUAUAGUAGCAGUUGUCAUCUUGGCAAUUGUAGCUGGUGUAGGCACUGCUCUUUUCGUCCAAGAUGGCUACACUGCACUGAAUCAAGCUGGUCUUGGCCUAAUUGUAGUCCCUGCUGUGAUUUUGGUACCACUACAAUACUUCAUGUUUGGAACUGUUUUUGACAGUCUACCUCAUACAACACUGGCUCUGAUAGGUUUGAAAAUUCUUGGUUAUAUAAUUGCAGUGGUUGGUUUUGCACUGUGUGUCCCAGCCUGUCCUCCAUUACAUGCGUCUGUUCUGAUUGCUGGCUUAGCUAUUAUGGCUACUGCAAGUUUGCUCAGUCUGGUUUACGUGUUUAUUAUGGGUUCCAGAAUGAAAGAUCAUCCUCGUCCAGGGGUAAGCUUAAAAUUAAUAAAUUUGGGGUGACUAGAUGGCUCAGGGGAUUGUAGUGAGAUACUGAACCUUUCUUCACUAGUUCGAAUUCAGACCAGGUUGGUAGCAAGCAAAAGUUCUGGCUGUGUAACAGAUGUCUAAUGUUGAGUGAGUUGGUCUUCAUUGUCCCUAUUGAGUGUGUCUGUAGUACUGUAAUUGCCAUCCUUACCUGGUGGCUACUCUGACUGUUGUGCCCAAAUGGAGUUUCCAUUGCUGUCACUAAAAGGUGGUGGAUGUCAAGGGCAUUCUUUUACAAUGCACUCUUUCAUCUAUAUUUAUAAAGACCUCCUGCUCACCUUCUUUGAAAAGCUUUUUCUUUAAGGUGAGUGCAAAACAUCCAGGUGGCUUGUAAGAAAGACUUAGGAGUUUUUUUUUGUUGUCUUGUACAUCAAAACUCUGUGAUAUUCUCUUUUAAUUCCUGGCUAUGUGGAUGGUAUAGCCUUGACCUUUUUUCUGAUUUCCCUAUAAUGCCCCUUAAUUUGAGGAGACCUUCUGAAAACAGAGUUCUGUCUUUAGGUAACACAGAACAAAUCAAAAAGCACCUUGGAUUUUUAAAGAAGGUUUUUCAGAUGGGUGUUUUGAAUUCUAGAGUAAUAAUUUCCAAAACAGUAAUUUUCAUAAACUUGGGCAGUGCUUUCGAGUGACUCAUGAAUGUGAACUGCCUGAUUUCUGGCAUUUUUGCACAAGGAAGUAAAGAGACACAACUGUAAAAUACCAGUAAAAUUUCCUUGUAGCAGAGGAACAUCUCUUUGGUGGCAGCCAUUGUUUGAGGCACCUUUCCAGGUCUCCAGUCUACAGCCUGAGACCCAGCUGUUAGAGAAAGAUGGUUUCCAAAAAUGGGAAACGAGAGCUGACUGCAGUUAGGACAAGAGAUUUUUAAUUUUUUAUUUCCUUUGCUUUUUCUCAUCCAUUGUCAUUUUAAGGAGUAGUAUUUCAGAGGAUUGGUCUCACUUAUGGAAGGAAUAUAAAUGCACAGAGUUUAAAAAAAAAGAAGAAAAAGAAGUUCAGAAAGGUAAUUAUGUUAUAAAAAUGAGCUGAGAAAUUUAAUUAAAGAUAUCCUUCAUUCAACAUGCAGUCUUGUCUGUAUCUAACAUCCUUCCUUAUGCUUACUUGUAGAAUGGAAGUAAACAGAGCAAGAGGAGAUUUUUUUCCUUAAUUUUGGUUGUAAAUAAACUUUGAAAUAGAAACCAGCAUGCAAAAUAGCAUCCUUUGAUGAGGACUCUGUCCUCUUUGUGAACUGUUCUCUUUACCAGGUGGUUUUACAUUGCAGCAAGGAUUUGAGAAAUAAACAAAUAGCAACAAUAAGGUAGUAGUGAACAUCGUGUUACUCUCUGAAUUGGAGACAGGAAUGAAAGCGAAAGAAAUUUUGAAAUCUUAGAGCUCUCUUGGAAGUCUAAGCCAUUAAAAAUAUGGUUGUUUGUAGCUGCUGUUAGUGCAGGAUUAGAUACAAAGGAAUUCAGGUGACAUAAUUUGUGUCCGUGAAGUACAGGCCUGACGGAAAGACUUAGUGGAAAUUGAAGUGUGUUAAUAUGUUGCUUGUUUCCACCCAGGGCUGUUCAGCAAAUAUUACUGUGCUUUGAGGCAGUAAAUAGGUGUGAAGGAAUUCUGAAAAUAUACUUUGAUUCUGUGUCAUCUAAAGACUAUGGAAAAUUUAUUAUUGGUGAAGGGCUUCAUUUUGACGCUGGGGCAAACUUACAAAAUGAUUGAGAUUUUCUUGAGUCGGAGGUGGGAAAAGCUGUGUGUUUUGAAAUCUGCCAUCUUAACCAAGUACUGAUAUUUUUUUUUAGCACUUCUGUAAUUGCGUGUGUUGUUUCUAAUGAUUGUCUUCCAGACUAAAUGCACAACUGUCGUGUAUUUAUUUUUGAGGAGAUUCCACUUGAUUGCUUGGCUACUAAUUUUUUUUUUCUUUUUAGUCCUGCUGCUUUGUUACUAACCAUUGAUCAAAUGGCACAAAUAAUCAGUUAGAUGUUGGAGCUUAAAAGUAGUAUCUGCAUGCCUUCUGCUGCCACCUAGGGGUAUUUCAUCUGAGCCAACAUUCACAGUGGGGGAAAACAACCUGGAGAAUGCAAAUUGAUUUAAAUUUUUUUCAGAACUCUAGUCAGCAAUUUGAUUAACGUUAAGCUUUCUUCGUUUUUUUAGAAUCACUACUUACUGUAUAUGUCAAUUAGAGUAAUUUAACUGUGGCGAGCCAAAAAUAAACAUGAAGGCUUUUUAUACAUAUAUAUAUUUUUAAAUGUUUUGCAGAAAGCUGUAGAAGAACCACUAAAUGGUAGGUGAUAUUCAAGGCUUAUAUUCUAAUUAAGGGAUUAAUGUUGGAAAAAGGUUGAAUAAUAAUUGUAGUUCCCAGUAGAACAGCACUGAAAUGGCAGAUCAAUAUGUCAAUGUAUGUGGCUCUGUGAGUCACAGGAGUUUGAUCUCUCAAGGAGGUUAUGGCAGAUCCAGGCUCCUUGCUUUAUACUACUUUCCUUGCUAGCCAGUGGCAUUGUUUGACUGUUGUAGGACAAAUCUAGUAUUUUAGGAUAUUUUAUCCACCGUCUCUGCUUUGCAAAAUGUCCAGCUUUUAAGAGAAAAAGGACAGGUCUUGAUAUUAAUUCCUCAAAACCAUUUGUUUAGGUGAAAUACUUCUGAUUAUAGUAAAAUCUAUCCUUGCCACUCUAUUCUUCCCAUAUUUCUUUGGGUUGGGGAAACUGGCAUGGUUUGGGGAAACUCUGCUAGCACUUAAGGUGAGGGAAAUUUACAGUGAGAAGGGGAUGACUCUAAAAUUCUAUUUGUCUUUUUUUUUUCUUUGCUAUUAUAAUCACUAAUUGGCAUGCUGAGUAGUAGCAAGUUCUAACCUGAAUUUUAGAAUUAAUCUGAAUGUUAAUUAUGAAGCAUUUCUUGCUGAACCGUUACUAAUCCAUUUGCUUGGCUUUUAAAGAUGCAAAAGGAGUGAUGUUAGAAUGAUGAACUGCAGAGUUAUGUGAUGCGCGAACAAAAUGUACACCGUUGUUGAUACACCGUGGCCUUGAAGAUGCACUACUCAACGAGAAGAAAUUCAGGAAACUGGUUGUUUUGCAUGUGUGGCAAAAGUGCUUUUGAUAUAAAUGACGUAAUUUUAUAGUCACAGCAGCUGUAGCAAGGAACAUGUGUGUUUGCCCACAUGUGGUCUUUAUUUUCUUUUGUUAUGGUAUAUAUGGGAUGGUUGAGGGUGAGAAUAUAGAAAGCACUGUUUGCCCACUACAGGGUCUCCCUGCAGUAAUCCUUAGUGGUAUUAUUUUCAAAAACUAUCAUUCGUCACUGCUUUGAUAAUGGGCCUGCUCAGCCCAGAAGUUGCAAUACCAUUUAGACUAUUGUUUUCUUUAUUUGUGUGCAUGGGCAAAGUAUGGUCUAUGUGUGUGAUACAAGCAGGAAGUAGAGAUUGUAAAAAUACAUCUUUUCUGACAUUCAGCAAAACUUGUAUAAGAAAAAGUAAAAACUUUUACACAAAGUUGCAUAAGUACGAAGUUUACUCCCAUUUCUCCUGAAGUCAUUAACAGAGUUCUAAUUCCACAAAACAUUAUUCCUCUCUCUGGACAGUAGCCAUGUAUGCUGUGGUGGCUGGUAUUUUUGUCCAGUGAGGGAGCUCUCCGUGCCUCCUCUGUAUUCCUGGAUGAGAAACUGCUCAGCUGUUGGAGCCUAAUUCAGCACUGGAAUUACGGAGCACAGCAGUUAGUAAUUUUCAUGCUGAAUGUGGUUCUUGUGUGUGUGUUCAUGUUGUGCAGUGUGUGGUACUGGAAGCAAUUUCAGGCUUUCUUAACUCAGUGAAUUUGUAAAAGUUGUGGAUGCUUCAUAAAAAUAGGAGUCGUCCUAUUUAGUGUAUUUUUGGCAGAGUUUUAAAAUCUCGUUUUCUUGAAUGGAAAAAAGGAGCUAUAUAAUUUUUCACCGAAGUUUAUGUUGCUGCCAUUAUAUCACAAAUACAUAAGAUACAAAGUAAGUAGGAGGAGCUGAUGAGAAAUGAGGAAGCUCAGUUUCUGUAUAUAUAUAUAUGUGGUACAGUUAAAAAUCAGUUUUCUAGGACUUGCACAUUCCAUGGGAUUUUACCACAUUUUACAGCUGUUAUGAGAGUUGUUCCAAUAUACUUGGUUUCUCUUGAACUUUGUGUAUACUUUGUAGAAAUCUUGACACUGUCUGCUGUUUGUACUAAGGUAUUGUAUUUCAAAGAUACACAUGGUUUUCUCCUAACAAUUUAAAACUUGGUUUGGAAAGCUGUUACCAAGCAGUAACGUAAUAAAAUCCACGUUUUUAAAGAUUCUGAGUAAUUUGGCACUUCUCAGAGUUCAGUGUUACAAAGUAAGGUUCCAUAUCCAUAUUGUGGGUGCAUAUUGCAGAGAUUUGGGUCUCUGCAUGUUGAGCUCCAAGUCUUGAUGCACUUGGCAUCAAGAAUUCAACAAAACAAAACUGAGAUACCUGAUUUUACAAGAGGUGCUGUUGUAAACAACCCUCUUGCUAAAGCUGCAGGAUUGAACCAUUUAAAGCAACCCGUGGUCCAGCCCUCACAAGGAUCAGUGGAACUGGGCACAGAGAAGAGAAUCAUUCAUGUGAUAAAACAUGGAAGAAGCGUGUAUGGCUUACACUCACUGUCAUACUUUGUCAGUGGGAGUGUUCAUGUAAGAUUUGAGCUCUUACCUAUGAAUCUUUUGAUACAGGUUUUUCCAUAAUGUCAGUGAUCUCUAGCUAAAGAUGGGAGAUGAUUCUCCACUAACAAUUCAGUGUAAGAAUUUAUCUGAUUAGUACUGUGCAGUGCUCCCUAUUUAUAACUAGUGAUUCCCUCUGGCAAGUUGAAAGUCUAGCAGCUGAGGAAUUAAAAAACCAAAUCAACUGGAAUUCUGUUGAGGUAUUCUGCCUUAUAAAAACUGUUUGUACAAUAGCUUUAUGUUAACUUCUGUAAAGCAAACUGCAGCAGAACCCGUUUGUGUCACCAUGGGAUCAGGCCGAGCUCAAAACCUGAGGAGCUCAGUGUCCGUGUAGGAGCUGCAGAAUCAGUUGCCCCAGAAAUGGGAGAAACCCACUGUCCUGUUGUGUCAAGGGCUGGAUUUCUUGUAGGUACAAACUUAAAAGCAAGAGUUUUAAAAAGUCAUCGAUACAUCCAGCCCUUUUCCACCAGUAAUUUAAGACCAAAGUUGUUCAUAACUGUGUGCUUUCAUUUGUGCGUGUACAUGUGUGUAUAUAUAAACAUACAGACAUUUGAAAUAUCUAUAGAUCUAUAGUCUUUACCCAAGAAAAUGUUUUUAUUUAUUAAACAAGAAAUGAUUUUGUAAAUAUCGUGCUAAUAUACUUAAAAAAUAAAGUCAUUUUAAGUUGUU